GCGCCGGCCGCAGCGCUCUCACCUGCGCAGGUCGCGGGGCCGCUGGGAGGACGCCGGGGAGAGCCCGGAGCGAGGCCGGGGUGGGGCGUGCCCGGCCGGGGCCGGAGACCAGGAGGGGCUGGUGCGAACCGGCAGGAGCCCGCUGGACGCCGACGGGUCCCCGCUGCCCCCCGUGCAGGGCCGGUGCCGCUCUGGUCCCGUCCCGGUUCCUGGUGACACACGAGAGGCGGAUGGAUGACCGUUCUGCCCAAGGUGACCCGUGAGAGCGAGCCGUUUGCAGUCUGCGGAACUCACAAGCCAUGUCUUAUCACGAGGGUGUCAGUGAACUGACGCCUGUCUCCUGAAGGGAUCAGCCGUAAUUUAGUUGCCCCGUGGCAUGCGGGAUCUUAGCUCCUGGACCAGGGAUGGAACUCACAUCCCCUGCAUUGGAAGGCAGGUUCUUAACCACUGGACCACCAGG